rnacentral:lncRNA from 1 species
CUGUUGUUGUACACGUUGCAAUGUUUAAUUUGCUAUCUGUAACAUAAUUUUGCUUUUUUGACAGUGUAUCUGAGGUGUGAGAAGUACAAAUCAAGCACAGACUGAAACAUUUUAAAAUACCAGUGUUUGCCAGAGCGUCCUCUCCAAAUUCUCAUAAAGACAGCUGACUUCCCUUAGCAAGAUCGCCAUAUGGGGUGCACUUCUGAGGAUGCACGUAAUUAGGUCUGCUGCUGCGGCAGAUGUUUAUGGAAAUAAAUUCCCACAGCUGACUCUGUGUGCAGAGACACUUUGUGAAAGGAAUGAAGUGGCUUGCAGUCAGCAACACCCUCCACAGAUACAACCAUUUCCUGCAUAAAAAGGAGAACAGAGCAGAGAGGAGAGGCAGGCUGGAUGAUGUGACUCCUCAUUUUAGGAGCUGCACAUCUCGAUGCUUAGAGGUUGCUGGCUAGUGGAUGUCCUCAGCUGCAGGAAGCAGAUGACAUGGGAGUUUAAAGUGGCCUCUGACAAUCCAGCAUUUUCACGCCCCUGCCAUGGUCCUGAAAGAUCUUACCAAGGACAGAGCGAUGGAGGAGGUUUGCCUGCCUUACAGUCUGAGGCAGUUGGUGUUAGGGAUCGCACAACAGCAACCAGAUGGAUGGAGGCAGUGUGCCUUCCCGUGUUUGCCAGGAAACUUUGCUCUGUCUUGGGCAAUCCAGGUGUUUGACAACUCCAGGUAAGAACCACUAAUGAAUUCAUGUAGUGAUUUGGAUUAAGAAGAUCAAGGAUGAAUUAACUAAUUUGGACCAGAUCACACAGGAAAUCUAUUGAAUAAUCGGGAAUAGGUAUCUUCAUUUUCUGGGCUUAUUCUAAGUGCAAAAAUGUAUAGGGCUAUCUGUGAGGACCUCCUCCUAUGAUGCACAACAAUGACGUUAAGACUCGGUCUCUGUUACACACACAGCAGCCAAACGAUGAGGAAAAAAAUUGCAAAAUACAGGGAGAACUAUGAUAAUAAUAAUUUACAGAUAGCUUUUUUGUUUUUUGAGGUAUCUCUUUUUUACUGUUUAGAGGAGGCAUUAACAUAUGGAUAAGUAUCAGUUAGCUGAAGUGGACAUAGUAGUAGUAAUUAUUAUUUGUAAUCCCUAGUAGACUUGUAAGGUAAGGAAAAAGACUUUCAAAGACAAAUCUUCCUCAGUUCAUUGCCACCGAUUUCUGUUCAUCUGAAGAUACAGAAUAAAUAUACUGCCAAGCCUUGCCUCUCUCCUUCU